CUCCGUUAGACAGACUUAAGGGACCUCUUCAAUAUGGCCAAUGGAACUUAACCUAACUGUAGACAACUGUGGACUUUAAAAUGAGGUAUACUGCUUUUGGCUGGGACAGAUUCAAUUUUCUUCAGAGUGAUGUCAGUUAUUAAUUGAAAACUGGAUACUAAAGCAAACAUCUUGACUCUGUGUGUGGAUCGGCUUCUUGCACACCAGACUUCAACCUGAAGAAAACUGGCUCAUUGACCAGAAAACCUAACCAAGAAAUUAAAAAACCUCAUUUGGUGUUGUCCUAAGGUUUAAUUUUUUUCAACUUAUGAAUGGGGUUUCAAAUUUCAAACUGGGCUUUUUAAAAUGUGAUGGU